rnacentral:rRNA from 1 species
UUUAUGGAGAGUUUGAUCCUGGCUCAGGAUGAACGCUGGCGGCGUGCCUAAUACAUGCAAGUCGAGCGAACGGAUAAGGAGCUUGCUCCUUUGAAGUUAGCGGCGGACGGGUGAGUAACACGUGGGUAACCUACCUAUAAGACUGGAAUAACUUCGGGAAACCGGAGCUAAUGCCGGAUAACAUUUGGAACCGCAUGGUUCUAAAGUAAAAGAUGGUUUUGCUAUCACUUAUAGAUGGACCCGCGCCGUAUUAGCUAGUUGGUAAGGUAACGGCUUACCAAGGCAACGAUACGUAGCCGACCUGAGAGGGUGAUCGGCCACACUGGAACUGAGACACGGUCCAGACUCCUACGGGAGGCAGCAGUAGGGAAUCUUCCGCAAUGGACGAAAGUCUGACGGAGCAACGCCGCGUGAGUGAUGAAGGUUUUCGGAUCGUAAAACUCUGUUAUUAGGGAAGAACAAAUGUGUAAGUAACUGUGCACAUCUUGACGGUACCUAAUCAGAAAGCCACGGCUAACUACGUGCCAGCAGCCGCGGUAAUACGUAGGUGGCAAGCGUUAUCCGGAAUUAUUGGGCGUAAAGCGCGCGUAGGCGGUUUCUUAAGUCUGAUGUGAAAGCCCACGGCUCAACCGUGGAGGGUCAUUGGAAACUGGGAAACUUGAGUACAGAAGAGGAAAGUGGAAUUCCAUGUGUAGCGGUGAAAUGCGCAGAGAUAUGGAGGAACACCAGUGGCGAAGGCGACUUUCUGGUCUGUAACUGACGCUGAUGUGCGAAAGCGUGGGGAUCAAACAGGAUUAGAUACCCUGGUAGUCCACGCCGUAAACGAUGAGUGCUAAGUGUUAGGGGGUUUCCGCCCCUUAGUGCUGCAGCUAACGCAUUAAGCACUCCGCCUGGGGAGUACG